GUACCCAGUUCGGAUGUAGGCUGCAACUCGCCUACAUGAAGUCGGAGUUGCUGGUAAUCGCGGAUCAGGAUGCCGCGGUGAAUGCGUUCCCGGGUCUUGUACACACCGCCCGUCACACCAUGGAAGUUGGGGGCGCCCGAAGUUGCCUAAGAAAUAAGGUACCUAAGGCGAAACCAAUGACUGGGGUGAAGUCGUAACAAGGUACC
rnacentral:rRNA from 1 species